GAUGAAGAACGUAGUGAAAUGCGAUACUUGGUGUGAAUUGCAGAAUCCCGUGAACCAUCGAGUCUUUGAACGCAAGUUGCGCCCGAAGCCAUUAGGCCGAGGGCACGCCUGCCUGGGCGUCACACGUCGUUGCCCCCCCAUCUACUCCUUCGGGAUUGCGGGGGGCGGAUGAUGGCCUCCCGUGCGCCUCGCCGCGCGGUUGACAUAAAUGCCAAGUCCUCGGCGACGCACGCCACGACAAUCGGUGGUUGCGAAACCUCGGUUGCCCGUCGUGUGCGGUCGUCGCGCAUCGAGGGCUCGAAAAAAUUGCCGGGUUCCGGCUCGGCUUUCAACGCGACCCCAGGUCAGGCGGGGUUACCCGCUGAAUUUAAGCAUAUCAAUAAGCGGAGGA
rnacentral:misc_RNA from 1 species